UACGGAGGAGGCAAGCGUUAUCCGGAAUUAUUGGGCGUAAAGCGUCCGCAGGUGGCGAUUCAAGUCUGCGGUCAAAGACCGGGGCUUAACUUCGGAAAGGCAGUGGAAACUGAACAGCUAGAGUAUGGUAGGGGCAGAGGGAAUUCCUGGUGUAGCGGUGAAAUGCGUAGAGAUCAGGAAGAACAUCGGUGGCGAAGGCGCUCUGCUGGACCAUAACUGACACUCAGGGACGAAAGCUAGGGGAGCGAAUGGG
rnacentral:rRNA from 1 species